rnacentral:rRNA from 1 species
GAUGAACGCUAGCUACAGGCUUAACACAUGCAAGUCGAGGGGUAACGAGAGGGAAGCUUGCUUUCCUUGUCGACGACCGGCGGAUGGGUGAGUAACGCGUAUCCAACCUGCCCUUCAGUAAGGGAUAGCCUUUCGAAAGAAAGAAUAAUACCUUAUGUGGUCGUCAGAAGACAUCAGACGACGAUCAAAGAUUUAUCGCUGAGGGAUGGGGAUGCGUCCCAUUAGGCAGUAGGCGGGGUAAAGGCCCACCUAACCUACUAUGGGUAGGUGUUCUGCUAUGAAGUGCACCCACAUUAGAACAGAGACACGGUCCAAACGCCUACGGUAGGCAGCAGUGAGGAAUAUUGGUUAAUGGCCGUAAGGCUGAACCAGCCAAGUGUCGUGAAGGAUGACGGCCCUAUGGGUUGUAAACUGCUUUUAAACGGGGAUAAAGUGAGCCACGUGUGGUUUAUUGCAGGUACCGUUUGAAUAAGGACCGGCUAAUUCCGUGCCAGCCGCCGCCGUAAGAC